CGAAUUGCAAUAAUUUGAAAUUUGAACAAAAAAAUACAGACCACAGUCGUGCAGAGUUCUAAUAGUUCUAUUCAUACAUAUUAUUACAUAAUCGCCAUGCAUAUAUGUAUUGUUUUUAGUAAAACAUCCGAAGUAUCGCCUAGCCACAUUAUGUUAGUUUUAAUUUAUUUCCAAAAAAUGAAAAUAGAAGGAAAUAAUGGCUAAACAACUUUGAAUUAAAUGAUUAUCCCAAUUUCUACCUGACAUAGUAUCUGCGGAUAAUUUCACAAUUACUGAUUGUAAACAAUGCACUCAAAACAUAAUCCAAACCGUUUGUCUGGGAUAGAGAAGAAAAAUAAAUUUUAGUAAUUUACAGUGACAUUGGUACUACUCUGAGCAUGACUAAUAGCUUCUAUAAAAUUCUGUUUUGAAUGAAGGUGUCGGUCGUGUUGCGCUGUGCCCCUGCAGUUGUAGACGACGAUGUUGUCUCCAGAACCGAACAAUGUCAGCGAGAGUGGAGCGUGACGUUGCUACUCGUUGCCGGUCGUUAGCAGACAAAAAAUUGCACAAAUGCUCGAGACGUGCGUGACAGCCAGAAUAUUGUGUAUCUCCAACGAUGAGGUUGAAGAAAAUGAACAGACAAAUAAAGAAUUUCGAGGCCUUACAAGCUGAUGAUUUUAAUUCAUCCAGAAAAGCCUUAGAAGCUUAAUAAUGUCUAUACACACUUAUAGUUUACACACAUAUUUUGCCUGUGUCUUAUUCUAAACAAUUGGAUCACAAGCAACCUCCAGCUGUUAUCACAUAUAUCUUUGGUGAAAUCGUAACUAUUAAAUGAUCAAUGUCGGCGAGGAUGGAGCGUGAUGUUGCCGGUCGUUAGCUGACAAAAAAUUGCACAAAUGCUCGAGACGUGCAUGACGGCCAGAAUAUUGUAUAUCUCCAACGACGAGGUUGAAGAAAAUGAACAGACGAAUAAAGGAUUUGGAGACGUUAUAGUUGAUGAAUUUAAUUUACCCAGAAAAUCCUUAGAAACUUAAUAAUGUCUUAUUCACAUACACUUAUGCAAUACAAUUUAGCUGAGCAGGAACCCAAUUUCAAUAACACAGAUGAGGGCCUCAACAUAUCUAAAUUGCAAAGAAACACGUAACUAGUUUGGACUUCAGUAUCUUUUCUGAAAUAAAAAAUAUUGUAUAUCUCCAACGACGAGGUUGAAGAAAAUGAACAGACGAAUAAAGGAUAUGGAGACCUUACAGCUGAUGAUUUUAAUUCAACCAGAAAAUCCUUAGAAACCUAAUAAUGUCUAAUUCACAUACACUUAGAUUUCCAAAAAACGAAAAUAGAAGGAAAUAAUGGCGGUAAUCAUUUCUACAGCAACACUGGUAGUACUGCUCUGAGCACGACUAGUAAAUCUUAUCUAAGAAAAUAUUGUGUUUUUCCGACGAUGAGUGAGAAGAAAAUAAACAGACGAAUAAAGGAUAUGGAGACCUUACAGUCGAUGAUUUUUUCAUUCGCCCAGAAAAGCCUUAGAUACUUAAUAAUGUCUAAUUCACACACACUUAUAAUGGUUGGCAUGAGCUGUGAAAAGAUAUAUUAUAUUGAAGAUGUAGGCUGUUAAUAAAUUUGUGGUGUCCUACAUAUGCAUACAUACAAAGUUUACUGGUCGUCAAACCCGUUCCCAUUCAUGGAAUUUACUUCUCAACAAGAAAAUACAAACUUCUUUGGAAGAAGGCUAAGCAAACACCAAUUACCUUCAAUUGCAC